UACGUAGGGUGCAAGCGUUGUCCGGAAUUAUUGGGCGUAAAGAGCUCGUAGGCGGUUUGUCGCGUCUGCUGUGAAAACUCAGGCUUAACCCCGAGCCUGCAGUGGAUACGGGCAGACUAGAGGUAGGUAGGGGAGAAUGGAAUUCCCGGUGUAGCGGUGAAAUGCGCAGAUAUCGGGAGGAACACCGGUGGCGAAGGCGGUUCUCUGGGCCUUACCUGACGCUGAGGAGCGAAAGCGUGGGGAGCGAACAGG
rnacentral:rRNA from 1 species